rnacentral:tRNA from 1 species
GUGGGUUAGCUCAGUGGUCAGAGCGUAAGUCUCGUGACCGGAAGGUCCCGGGAUCAAAUCCCGCUAAAGGCGGACA